AUGAUGAACUCCAAGGUGCUCCGGGCGGCUUUGACCCUGCUGGAGUGCGGGGGGGACCUCCAGCCCCCCGGGGGGUCCCUGCGCCUCCUCUGCCGAGGGGCCGGGUUUGAUUUUGGGGAGUUUGGAAUGGGAUGGAUGCGCCAGAGACCCGGGCAGGGGCUGGAAUACAUCGCCAGUAUCAGCAACACGGGUGGUGGCACCAACUACGCGCCAUCGGUGCAGGGUCGGUUCACGAUCUCCAGGGACAACGGGCAGAGCUCGGUGACGCUGACCAUGAACAACCUCAAGGAUGAGGAUUCUGGAUCCUAUUUCUGUGCCAAAUGUGCUUACAGUGGUUAUAGUUAUGGUGGUGCUGCUUUUAUUGACAAUUUUGGCAGUGGGAUCAACACUGGUGUAGGCACCACCGACUACGCGCCAUCUGUCAAGGGUCGGUUCAGGAUCUCCAGGAACAACGGGCAAAGCUCGUGCCGUCGUUACCCAAAAGUUACCGAAAUGUCUGGAUUUGGGCCCAAAGUAAAGAUCAGGGAUCAAGAAUUCAAAUUUUAG